rnacentral:rRNA from 1 species
GAUGAACGCUGGCGGCGUGCCUAACACAUGCAAGUCGAGCGAUUUACUUCGGUAAAGAGCGGCGGACGGGUGAGUAACGCGUGGGUAACCUGCCUCAUACACAUGGAUAACAUACCGAAGGGUAUGCUAAUACAAGAUGAUAUAAGAGAUUCGCAUGGAUUUCUUAUCAAAGCUCCGGCGGUAUGAGAUGGACCCGCGUCUGAUUAGCUAGUUGGUAAGGUAACGGCUUACCAAGGCGACGAUCAGUAGCCGACCUGAGAGGGUGAUCGGCCACAUUGGAACUGAGACACGGUCCAAACUCCUACGGGAGGCAGCAGUGGGGAAUAUUGCACAAUGGGCGAAAGCCUGAUGCAGCAACGCCGCGUGAGCGAUGAAGGCCUUCGGGUCGUAAAGCUCUGUCCUCAAGGAAGAUAAUGACGGUACUUGAGGAGGAAGCCCCGGCUAACUACGUGCCAGCAGCCGCGGUAAGAC